ACCCUCACUUCCUCUCUUCGCUCAAACGGUGACAACCCCCAAAGAGCCCAACGUCGGACGCCACAGAAAGGAGGCCGUUCUCGCUCUUAACUCCGACCGAGUACGGUCUCAAACUACCCAAACACCCUUAAACUCUCCAUCUCCCUCUCCCCUUUCAUCUUCUUCUACCGAGAACCAACCCACUAAUAACCACCAUGCACGGUGGAUCACCAACCCUAAACUAAAACCGAUUACCCCAUCUCCUCUCCUAUGGCACUGCUACCCCGAAGAACCCAACGGCCACAAGCAGGGGGUGAGGAAGCAAGUAUAGAUGCUGUGAGGAAUGGUACUGGCACUGGCACUGUGGAGCAGGGCAUGGGUCUGCUGGCAGUGGGUGUGGCGUUGGCAGCUGGCACAGCAUGGAUUCUUUGCUCGACUUCUCUUUCUCUUUUUUUAUUAAUAUAUAUUUGGGUACAAAAAUUGGUGAUUACAAGAAAUAUGGAAGAUUGGAUCCAUAGUUCCAUGAAUGUUGUUUCAUCA